UCGUCGCCGUCUUCGCAAGAGAAGUUAGCAAUCAAAAUCUGAGACUGAACAUUCUUCGAUCUUUGAGCGUACUGAUAUCCCAGGAUAGAUUGAUCCAUAAAUUCCAUCGGUCAGGCUUAUCUUUCGAGCUGAGUUAUGGAUUCCGCUUCUGCGUCACUCAUGGAUUUGUUCAGUCUUUGCGCAGUGGAGUUUUCGAUUCCGAAUUUACCCUAGAUCUGAUCCUCGAGUCUGUGUUUUGAUUGCUGUCUCUCGAGACUGCCCGAUCUUCGUGGGAAUCCAUCUGCAGGUGUUCGCUCUAAGUCUGUCAGCAUGUCGCGCCGUAGAUAGUUCAAUGCAAAGGACUACCCUAAACAACCAAUUGUGCAUCUAGAUUAAUUACCGGAACCCAGAAAAUGAAAACUCAUUUGGCACCUCUAAUCUUAGUUUCCAUUCCCAGAUGUAACCAACUUUUCUUCCCCAAUCUCCUUUCUUUCAUGACGUUUCUAUGCAAUACUAUAGAUUCUUUUGAAAAAAGGGUACCAACAAGAUCCUCCGGUGGAGUAUUCCAUGGUACUAGGAAUAGAAUUGAUGUCGGCUGAACACUGCUCCCAGGGUAAGAUUUUACUGCAGGUCACAUGGAAAACUAUGGGAAUGAGAAGUCGGUGCUAAGCUGCACCAAGUUUCCAUUUAUUUAGAAAUGGGUCCCUUUGUCUACCUUCCUUCUUUUGUUCCAUGGGCAUUACCUGUAGUAUCUGAAUAUUCUGUACUAUUUCUUCCAGCAUCGCUUCUCAAAUUUCUGUAACUCGCUGCAUCCUGCAGGUCAGUGCUCGAUGUUUUCCCUUGUAUUACCGUGAAUAAGUGAUUUUUCGUAGAAUUUGUGACAUUUUUUCGAAUAA